GCCGAGCAUGGUGGCAUGUGCCUGUAAGUCCCAGCUACUUGGGAGGCUGAGGCAGAAGAAUUGCUUCAAUCCAGGAGGUGCAGGUUGCAGUGAGCCAAGAUAACGCCACCGCACUCCAGCCUGGGUGACAGAGCGAGACUCCGUCUCCAAAAAAAUAAAAAGUGUAGACUAUAGACAACUAGAAUUUCUAGACUGUCUGGCUUGGGGUAGGUCUGGUUGGGGAUUGGGAGAAUGCUUGGGGGAUUUACUGAGAAGUGGUCACUGUUUCUAUGCUAAGCUCUGUUUUUCACUUAGGUUAUAGGUAUUUGGGUGGCCUUUCAGGCAAUGGAGGUUAUGAGGGAGCUAAGGCCCCUGUGGACCCCUUGGCACCAGCACUGGCAUAGGCCCACUUGCUACCACCAGAACUGAGCACAUAUGGGAGCAUUCACGGGGCUGAUUAAGGAAGGCUUCCUGGAGGAAGGGAGUUUGAGGCAUGUUUGAAAGAAGAAGAGGGGGGAUUAUAAAACACGAAAGUGACAGCAGACAGGUUUAUGUAACAUCCAGGAGCAAGAAUGAGACUCUGAGGGCAUCCAGGACCCACCUUCAUUGUAGGGACAAAAGCACCAAGGUCUCAGCCAGGUGAGGGAGUUUGCCCAAGGCACAGUGACUGAACUGGAACUGGUGCUGCAGGGAGCUGGAAGGAAGGAAGGAAGUCCAAACAGAGGGAACGUGGACAGACUCAGGCACAAGGGCUUAAGGUAGGAGGUGCCCUUGGGGAAAAUGGGUCCUUGGUCUAGUAGCAAGAUUGCAGAGUAUGCAAAGAAGUCGGAGCCAGGGUACAAGGGGCUUAGGCACCUUGCUAGCGAGGAGGCUCAACCCUUAGUGGUGACAGUGGGACAGUCAGUGGAAUGUCCUGAAGCCUCUCUGGAGGCCCUCUGCAGCCCAGGAACACCUAGGAGUGGAGGUUGGGGAGUAGAGUUUGGAAACACCUUAGAAACAAGAUUGGCUGUACCCCGUGACUGUAAAUGGGGACUCGAGUCUAAAGUCUAAGCUCAAGGCAGCAGGGGUAGCCCGAGGUGCCUGCUGCUGCAUGGAAGGGAAGGGAGAGAGCUGGCCAGGCAAGAGUGGGUUCCAGCAAGUUCCUAAUGUAGCAGACAUUUCAUGUUUGUAUUCACUCAUAUUUUCAUUCACAGCUAUGAGCCUAGCAGUGAGGCCCAACUCAGUUUACAAGGCUUGCAAACCAGGUGACCAGAAGGCAAGGAUUUCCCAGUCCCUGGAAACCAGAUGCCCAUCCUCCAUGCAAACAAGUGAGGUGGAGUGUCCGUGCCAGUGCCCACACCUGCCCGGAGGCAGCUGCUCAGGGCCUCUGCACUAUCUCCACCUCACCCUCCCCACGCCUCCCACUCCUUAAAGACCACAGGGCUGGGGGGCAGACACCUGGGAUUCUAAUUUGGUAUGUGACCCCAGGCUACCCCUGGGAGGCUCCUGUCCUCAUCUGCAAAGUGGGGAGAAAGGGGGGUUUCUAUGAGGAUUCAGUGAGACAAUGCCUGGGCACAGGGCUGCCUGGCACCCAGCAGGGAACUUAAUAAAUGUCUGGUUUCCAAUUCCCACCAAUGCAUUUCCCAGCCCUUCUCCUCCCCUCAAGCACUAAUUGUCUGAGUUACGACCCUACUUUGGUGUCUGGCUGCCUACAAGCAAAGUGAGGAGGUCUCCUUCGGUAGAACUGGUGCUGAGCUGAGAAUGGAGCCCUGGCCCGCCCCUUACUUCCAGAGCCUUGGGAGACAUCAUCAACCUCAGCAUCAGCUUCCUCCUCUGGAAAGCAGCCACCCUCUUAAGUAACUGCAAACCAUGCCGGCAAACUGCAAAGUGCUUAAGGCCAGGCAUGAGGACAGGUCAGGAGGCAGGGUUUCGGGCCUGGCAUUCUCAGAGUGGUCUCGGGAAGAACAAACCUGGACACCGAACUGGACAACAGCAGGACUCUGAGCACUUUGGGAGCUGUGUAUGAUGUGUUGCGGGGGUGGGUUGUGUCCAGAUCAAAGGUGGGGAGGCGGUCUAGGCAGCAGCAGGAGGUGUAUUCGAGGUCUGCAGCAAUUCUUGCAGAGCCUGAAUUACAGUGAGGCCCACACCCUCGUCCUGCUGCCCUGGCCUUGGCCAUCUCCCAUGUCAACCUCAUCUUGAUCUUGCCUACCUCCCUCCCCAGAAGCCAGGGGGCCAUUUGGCAUCAGGAACACAGGGAUUAGCUGCACGGCCAGACCCCAGACCCCCGCCCAGGGGUCCCUCUUUGCUCUCCUGGCCAGCCCCACCCCACAGGCACCAACUUGGGCCAAUGCCAGGCCACAGGUCAGACUCCCAGGCCUGGGACUCCUCUGCCCACCCACAACAACCACUGAUGCUCCUCAGCAAGAGCCAACUUCUGGCUCUGAACGCAGCAGCACCCAGGAUACAGCAAGGUGAAUGCUAGGCACUCGUCCCACAGCCUGGGGUGUAGGGGAGGUCAGAGAUACACACAAAUCAAACUCUCUCCUCACUAUAUAUAUAUAUAUAUAUAUAUAUAUAUACACACACACACACACACACACACACACACACACAUACACACAAGCACACCCCACCCACACUCAUUAGGCCUGGAGGGGGGACUUCAGUUCUCCAUCUUUGGCAUCAAUCUAUCAAAGUCAGCUUUUCUGUACGAGACUGCUCGCUCCUUUCUGUACAUGAAUUAAAUAUAUUAUCUGUCUCUGCACUGAGUCACACGACGUUCACAGUACCGUGGGGAGGAGUGGAGGGUGGGGGCCUGAGGUGGGCAGGGCAGGGGGCCUGGGUAGAAAGGCGAG
rnacentral:lncRNA from 1 species